ensembl:lncRNA
CUGGAUGGCACGUGGGAUAAAGGUGGAGAAGGGAGAUUAGUGCCGGCUGGAACAGUCAGAUUAUACUUCUCUUCCGACGGCGGUUGAAUUUACAAACAAAAGGGUUUGCUUACUCUGUAGUUUUCAUUCAAACAAUUGGCUCCUCAUCUAAAACAAAGGCAGAGUGUUGAAACAUUAUUAAACACCAAUGUCUGAAGAGAUGGAUAACGCUCUAAAAUGCUGACAGUUUGUAACUCCUGUUCUGCCCUCCAAGUAGAGAACUGAAUGCAUCCAGAUGUUUUAUUGCCUUCAUCUUCAUUUUCUAAGCCACUCAAAAACAUCUGCUUUAAAACAGUCCACCAGAUGCAACCACAAUUAUUCAAAUGUAGCAGUCGUUACCUCAAUAUGUGUGCUUGGCCCAAAUGUCAGACACCGAUUUCUCAUUUUUCAACUAAUGGGGCAAAGACGAUUCCACGCGAGUAAACGAAGACCUCAUCCAAAUCCCAUCUGUCGUCCAGUUGUUGAAUCUGUUAUCCCGGACACACGUGUUUAUAUUAUUAUUUCAGUCCAAAUAUGACAGAUCUAUAAUGUAUAGACACCAGAAACCACAAUGCGCUGGGAGCUGUAUAUGUCGGCGUUGGGGCAAUAGGAUGAUCUGAAUGUAGCGUGUGGUGGAGGCCAUGGUGUUGACGACUUGUUGUGAGUGAGCAGAGGACGUGCGGGUUUGGACACGUACAGUGUGUUCGUUUGUGUGCGUGCACGAGUGUGCACCUACGUGUGUGUGUGUGUGUGUGUGUGUGUGUGUUCCUCCCCGAGCAGUGAGUGAGCUCACAACCGGGGUCGCUGGGUUGAGACACUGUUUGGAGACGGAGGGAGAGGUUGCCAUGGUGACCGCGGAUGUGUGCUCAGCCGGAUGGAUGCACGGAUGGAUGCACGGAUGGAUGGACAAAACAAAAUGGACGAGACGUGCGCUGGUGGCAGUGAUUGGCAGGCAGCUUCGAAAAAGGACUACCGGCUGUUUGUUCCAGCCUGAAACACAUCAGCUCCACCGACAGCAGCGCCACUUGCCUUCUCCCUUCAGGUCAGCCACGUGUCAAUCGUGAACUCUCAUCGGCUAACCUUUGCCCCAACCACAAGAAUGCAUCGUGUGUGUGUGACAGGACUUGACGCACACACGGAACACGACAACUUGAUACACCACCCCCCCCCCC